rnacentral:rRNA from 1 species
UACAGAGGGUGCGAGCGUUAAUCGGAAUUACUGGGCGUAAAGCGUGCGUAGACGGUUAUCUAAGUCGGAUGUGAAAGCCCCGGGCUCAACCUGGGAAUUGCAUUCGAGACUGAAUAGCUAGGGUGCGGUAGAGGGAAGCGGAAUUUCCGGUGUAGCGGUGAAAUGCGUAGAUAUCGGAAGGAACAUCAGUGGCGAAAGCGGCUUCCUGGACCAGCACCGAACGUCAGCACGAAAGCGUGGGGAGCAAAGCAGGA